rnacentral:rRNA from 1 species
AACGAACGCUGGCGGCAGGCCUAACACAUGCAAGUCGAGCGAACCCUUCGGGGUUAGCGGCGGACGGGUUAGUAACGCGUGGGAAUAUACCCUUUGGUACGGAAUAGCCUCGGGAAACUGAGAGUAAUACCGUAUGUGCCCUUCGGGGGAAAGAUUUAUCGCCAAAGGAUUAGCCCGCGUUGGAUUAGAUAGUUGGUGGGGUAAUGGCCUACCAAGUCUACGAUCCAUAGCUGGUUUGAGAGGAUGAUCAGCAACACUGGGACUGAGACACGGACCCGACUCCUACGGGAGGCAGCAGUAAGGAAUAUUGGACAAUGGACGGAAGUCUGAUCCAGCCAUGCCGCGUNAAGGAAGAAGGCGCUCAGCGUUGUAAACUUCUUUUGGAUGGGGACAAACCACCCGGUUUACUGGGUGCUGAGGGUACCAUCAGAAUAAGCACCGGCUAACUCCGUG